rnacentral:rRNA from 1 species
UCCGAAGGGGGCUAGCGUUGCUCGGAAUUACUGGGCGUAAAGCGCACGUAGGCGGCUUUCUAAGUCGGGGGUGAAAUCCUGGAGCUCAACUCCAGAACUGCCUUCGAUACUGGAAAGCUCGAGUCCGGGAGAGGUGAGUGGAACUGCGAGUGUAGAGGUGAAAUUCGUAGAUAUUCGCAAGAACACCAGUGGCGAAGGCGGCUCACUGGCCCGGUACUGACGCUGAGGUGCGAAAGCGUGGGGAGCAAACGGG